GCCAGGUAUGGUGGCACGUGCCUGUAGUCCCAGCUACUCGGGAGGCUGAGGUAGGAGGAUCGCUUGAGCCCAGGAGUUCUGGGCUGUAGUGCGCUAUGCUGAUCAGGUGUCCGCACUAAGGUCAUCAUCAAUAUGGUGACCUCCCAGGAGCAGGGGACCACCAGGUUGCCUAAGGAGGGGUGAAGCAGUCCAGGUGGGAAACAGAGCAGAUCAAAACUCCCGUGCUGAUCAGUAUGCAGUAUGGGAUCAUGCCUGUGAAUAGCCACUAUACUCCAGCCUAGGGAACACAGUGAGACCCCAUCUCUA
ensembl:misc_RNA Metazoa_SRP Metazoan signal recognition particle RNA